rnacentral:lncRNA from 1 species
GCAGUCUUUAAAACUUCUUUGAUAUAUACAUGAUAUAUGAUACAAAUCAGAACUGAGUAUUGAAUUAUUUUAAAGGAUCUGAAUAUUUUCAUGCAAAGCAAACUUAUCUUCGACAAAUCUUGGAUCAGAUAAUUUGCAAGCAUAUUUUCAUACUUGUCAAUUAUAAUGAUCUGAGUUAAUUUUACAAAAGUCAUAAAUAUGUGCACGUUAGUUUUGUCAGACCAAAUGAGAAAAAUUAAAUCAAAAGGAAAAAAAUUUAAAAACUACUGCCUAUCAUUUCAAAUAAUUCACAAACCUAUAAUUUGUUUCUUGUGUAGUUUUUGACCAACUUAUAGCAUGCCAGACUUAAAAGUUACGUAAUAAUAUAGACAUGCAGACGUGUAACAGUAAGCUAAAAAUAACAGGAAAUAAUUCAGUCGGUACGUGCAGAUGUGUAACAAUGAAUAAAAAGGUCAAGAGAUAAUUUGACGCUGAAAGUGGUUUGACAGAUAAAAAAUAAAAUGGAAAUGUACUAAAUUGUGUUCAGAAUUAAAUUAAUAACAAUUGAAAAUGUUCAAUUCUUUAAAGUAGAC